rfam:Oryctolagus cuniculus unplaced genomic scaffold chrTn0002, whole genome shotgun sequence.
UAGUCCAGUAGGUCAUUUCCAUUUAGUAUAGCCACCAGGAAUGUGGUCCUUAUCC